GUUGGCGGCGUGGAUUAGGCAUGCAAGUCGAGCGAGAACUGUAGCAAUACAGGGAAAGCGGCGAAAGGGAGAGUAAUACGUAGGUACCUGCCCUCGGGUCUGGGACAACUGCGGGAAACUGCAGCUAAUACCAGAUGACGUCUCUGGACCAAAGGUGUGAUUCCGCCAGGGGAUGGGCCUGCGUCCUAUUAGCUAGUUGGUAGGGUAAAAGCCUACCAAGGCAAAGAUGGGUACGGGGUGUGAGAGCAUGCCCCCGCUCACUGGGACUGAGACACUGCCCAGACACCUACGGGUGGCUGCAGUCGAGAAUCUUCCGCAAUGGGCGCAAGCCUGACGGAGCGACGCCGCGUGCGGGAUGAAGGCCUUCGGGUUGUAAACCGCUGUCAGUGGGGAGCAAAUGGAUAGGGGUUCUCCCCUAUUCUUGAGCGAUCCGCAGAGGAAGCACAGGCUAAUUCCGUGCCAGCAGCCGCGGUAAUACGGAAUGUGCAAACGUUAUUCGGAAUCACUGGGCUUAAAGAGUCCGUA
rnacentral:rRNA from 1 species